rnacentral:tRNA from 1 species
UAUAUGCGAGUGUGAUUUUGCAUUAAAGAUUUUGAUUCUUUAGGUUUUAAUUAAAUUUAUUGUAUAUAA